UGGCGCUAAUUUGCACACUACACUGAUUCCUUACCGCUCUUUGGAAAAACACAGAAGAAGAAAAGUUUGAACAACGCAGCAAGGCGGGAAGCAGCAGACAGUAGGGUUGCAGAAACUACCUACGCAGCAGCAAUCAGGCUCACUGGACUUACUUUUCAGAUCAGUUUAUGCCUUUGCAUCUUGCUGUUCCAGUUUCAAGAAGUUAAGGAAGAUAACUGGAGAUGUGAUAACGAUACCAGAAGACUGAGAAGAAACGGC